AGUGAACGCUGGCGGUAGGCCUAACACAUGCAAGUCGAACGGCAGCACAGUAAGAGCUUGCUCUUACGGGUGGCGAGUGGCGGACGGGUGAGGAAUACAUCGGAAUCUACUUUUUCGUGGGGGAUAACGUAGGGAAACUUACGCUAAUACCGCAUACGACCUACGGGUGAAAGCAGGGGAUCUUCGGACCUUUCGCUAUUGAAUGAGCCGAUGUCGGAUUAGCUAGUUGGCGGGGUAAAGGCCCACCAAGGCGACGAUCCGUAGCUGGUCUGAGAGGAUGAUCAGCCACACUGGAACUGAGACACGGUCCAGACUCCUACGGGAGGCAGCAGUGGGGAAUAUUGGACAAUGGGCGCAAGCCUGAUCCAGCCAUACCGCGUGGGUGAAGAAGGCCUUCGGGUUGUAAAGCCCUUUUGUUGGGAAAGAAAAGCAGCAGGUUAAUACCCCGCUGUUCUGACGGUACCCAAAGAAUAAGCACCGGCUAACUUCGUG
rnacentral:rRNA from 1 species